CCUACGGGAGGCAGCAGUGGGGAAUUUUGGACAAUGGGCGCAAGCCUGAUCCAGCAAUGCCGCGUGAGUGAAGAAGGCCUUCGGGUUGUAAAGCUCUUUUGUCAGGGAAGAAACGGCAGUUUCUAAUACAGAUUGCUAAUGACGGUACCUGAAGAAUAAGCACCGGCUAACUACGUGCCAGCAGCCGCGGUAAUACGUAGGGUGCAAGCGUUAAUCGGAAUUACUGGGCGUAAAGCGUGCGCAGGCGGUUUUGUAAGUUUGUCGUGAAAUCCCCGGGCUCAACCUGGGAAUGGCGAUGAAGACUGCAAGGCUAGAAUCUGGCAGAGGGGGGUAGAAUUCCACGUGUAGCAGUGAAAUGCGUAGAGAUGUGGAGGAACACCGAUGGCGAAGGCAGCCCCCUGGGUCAAGAUUGACGCUCAUGCACGAAAGCGUGGGGAGCAAACAGGAUUAGAUACCCUGGUAGUCCACGCCCUAAACGAUGUCUACUAGUUGUCGGGUUUUAAUUAACUUGGUAACGCAGCUAACGCGUGAGUAGACCGCCUGGGGAGUCGGUCGCAAGNUUAAAACUUNAAAUUGAAUUGACCGGNNGNGAGNGCGAGCGACGACGAGGAGAGG
rnacentral:rRNA from 1 species